GACGAACGCUGGCGGCGUGCUUAACACAUGCAAGUCGAACGGGGCAAAGUGAUAGCUUGCUAUUAUGGAGCCUAGUGGCAAACGGGUGAGUAACGCGUAGGCAACCUGCCCUUCAGAUGGGGACAACACUUCGAAAGAGGUGCUAAUACCGAAUGACGUAUCCAUUCCGCAUGGAGAGGAUACCAAAGGCCGGGCAACCGGUCACUGAAGGAUGGGCCUGCGUCUGAUUAGCUAGUUGGUGGGGUAACGGCCUACCAAGGCGAUGAUCAGUAGCCGGUCUGAGAGGAUGAACGGCCACAUUGGGACUGAGACACGGCCCAG
rnacentral:rRNA from 1 species